UUCAGUAAGAAUUUAAUUUUGGUUCUGAUUGAACGUUUUUCAGUAGUUUUAAGACAUGCGAAUCGUUGUUCUAAAUUUUACUAGAGGCCUGCAGCUGUAGGUGUAGGUUUGCUACUCCUGCACCCGGCCACUCUAGAAAUAAUAGAAUAAGGUGUAAAGGUGAGUAUAGUAAAUUAGAUACCUUAUAGUCUCCUUAAUUCGGAGAUAAUUUCACUCUAGCUACAGCUUCCGCUAAAGUAGCGGGGCUUAGGUUCGGGCAGGCUAUGCCAGGCCGGAUAAAGUGAAACCGAACUUAGCUCGUUCGGGGGUUGGGUUCUUAGGGACUUGCUACUUUUGCAUAAAAAAGAAGCUAGGCACUACGAAGUUGCCCACAAAAGGAAUGUUUCUGCUAUAAGAUUCGAUUUACUUUGUUUAAUGGUAGUUGGUAGGGUAAAGGCCUACCAAGCCUACGAUCAAAAGCCAUGUUUGAUAGAACAGAUGGCCACAUUGGGAGUGAAAUGCCCCAAGUAGUGUAAACUACCAGCAGUCAAGAAUAUUAGUCAAUGCUCGCAAGAGUGAACUAGCUAACUGAAAUCACAUGAGUCAUGUUAAUUGGUGAAUGUGAUAACGUAAGGGAAAAAAAUGAUGUUACCUUACUAUUAGUGUUGUCCAAAACUGGUGCCAGAAGACUCGGUAAGGCCAGAGACGCAAACGUUAGUCGUCCUAAUCAGGCGUAAAGGGUGUGUAGGCGGCUUUAAAAAUUUACUCUUUAAUAAGCUCUCGUUCUUCUCGAACGUUUUUAGGGUUAGCCUAGGCUUAGGUUUGGGUUAGCCGGAUAACGAACGAGUCAACGAGUAAGGAGAAAUGAAUUAAAGCUAGAAUCAAAUUGGGGAUAAACCGAAUAAUACUUAGAGUAGGGAUGAUAUCCGUAGAUACUAAGGGGAAUACUAAGGGUGAAAGCUUUUUAUCUACUAUUGAUUGACGCUGAGAAACGAAGGUGAGAAUAGGAAAUAGGAUUAGAUACCCAGAUACCUCUCACUGUCAACGAUGAAUGGUGGUUGUUAGUUUUAAUAAAAACUGGUAACGAUGUUAACACGAUAACCAUUCCGCCUUGCGAGUACGGUUGCAAAACUGAAACCAAAAAAAUUAGUCGGUCUCGAAGCAAACGAAGUGAAGCAUGUUAUUUAAUACGAAAAUACGCGUAAAACCUUACCAGUUCUUGCAUAGCCAUUCUGACUUAAUCUAAUUAAGUGAUUUCUUUCUUUCGCGUACGCGGUGGCUCGGCUUUCAAUGGGUUGGAUGCUGCGUACCAAGUGCGUACCAAGAAGGGAAAUAACAGAAUGAGUAGUAUCUAAACUUAAAUUAGAUAUUCGUUUACAGGUGUUGCAUGGCUGUCGUCAGUCCGUGCUGUGAGAAGUGAGGUUAACUCCACUAACGGACGCAAUCCCUGUUGUUAAUUUAGACUUAACAAUUAAUGAAUUUUAAAUAUUUUCAUUUGGGGCUAAGACAAGCCGUUAUGGCCCUCAUGAACUGGGCUAUAGACGUGCCACAAAAACUUUUACAAAGUGACGCAAAGACCAGACCCCCUAGCUAGCUCUUAGCUACGCAAGAAUAGGGUUCGAAGGAAUAGCUAAUCAUUAAAGAAAGUUAACACAUUAAUUUUAUGGACGGAUUGUCGCCUGCAAUUCGGCGACAUGAAGAAGGAAUUUCGAGUAAUCGUUGAUCACUAGCGCAACGGUGAAGAUAGCAUUCGUGAUGAACUAACUGUCUGUCGCUGGGAAGAAGCUUAACUUGGGGGAAACUGAAAAAAGAUUAUCCCUUUAACAAGGGAAUACAAUCCGAUACUAGGUAAUCGUAUUCCGAUUAAACUUUAAGUUUAAUUCGAUUGUAGUUUGUAUUUUCUAGUUACUAGGCUUUAAAUAUAAAACACCUUUGUUAAGCUAAUUAGUAUCAGUUAACCCAUUUAAGUAACAUCUCAAAAGUCAUAGCAAGGUAACCGUUCGGGAACGAGCGGUUGGAAAAUAAAUUAU
rnacentral:rRNA from 1 species